rnacentral:lncRNA from 1 species
AGGGAGAGAAGAAGGAGGGAGAGAGGAGGGAGGGGAGGGGGAGGAAGGGGAGAGAGAGAGAGAGAGAGAGAGAGAGAGAGAGAGAGAGAGAUCAACCCCUGUCUAUUCCACCCUGAGGAUCUUUGUGACUAUAGUUUGUAUUUAUAUGAACAGUGCCAGUGCUCAGUGCUAUGCCCCUUUGCAUUCAGUCCUCUGAGUGGCCCUAGGAGGUGGUGACUACCUUUGGGUCCACAACACUGAAAGGAGUUAGAGCAUUACCCUGGUCAGCCCAGGUGCUCCAGGUUAGCCCAGGUGCCCCAGGGACAGUAGGCUGACUCUCGGUGGGGCUGGAGUUUAGAACUUCUGGUAUCUGACCCCAGAGCCCAUGGUGAAGACCCCAUAUCCAUUCACACAGUAGGUAUGAGAGAUGAGACAUUUCCUCCCGAGGUACAGCAGAUGCUCCAAGGAGAGAAUGUGGAGAAGAUGGAGGAAACAGAACAGUCUAGGAGGGAGGGCCCACAAUCUAGGAGCAUAAUGUUUCUCUGAGGGAGUGCGGGGGGGGGGGGGGAGUGGAGGGGACGACAACUGAAUUCUCUAGAAACCAUUGUACAUCAAAGAAAAGCAGGUGCUGAGCUCUCCUGAGACCUCAGCUGAGGGGCCAGGAAGUCACAGUCUGCUUGUUGGUGUGUCUGUGGGCCUGUGUGGGGCCCAGGCUUUGUUACAUGGUGGGGUUCCUAUCUGCUCAGCAGUAGAUCCAGCCUAGAAAAGGCGUGGUUUGCAGAGGUCCCACGGGGGGGCUCUAGUGCACUAGGGUUGAACCACUCACUUCCUCAGUGGCUCACAGCCAGACAGAGCCAAAACAGAUGGGCCUGGUUCAAACCAGUUCCUGUCAGCCCCUGGUCACUCCCUGGGUCCUGCACCUACUCUGGCUUGUGUCUGGUGUCAGUUUUGAUUGGUGGACAUCUGUUCCUCUCUAUGAGGAGGGCCUCCUCGGGGGUGGGCAUUGAUAUAACUGCAAGUGGUAAGAGGGCUUGAAGUGGGGGAAGCUUGGGGGAAUUCCCUGAGAGAGGAGCAGUGAUCUGAUUUGGGAUCAAGCCCUCUGUCUUCUGUUUCUGAAUCUGGCAGGCUGUGGUGGGGAGGCAUACCAAAGGGAGGAGCCACCAUCUUUUGGUGUGUUUCUAAGGAGAAAAUUGGGUUUCUAUGGUACUUUCUAGAGCUGAGGUCUAAACAAGACCCAAGGUCUGAAAGUCUACAGACGGGUGAGGAGAAACCUUGCCAGAGCCUCACACACAAAAGGCAAAGCAAAGAAAGGGCUUUCUGUUAGACAGUGAGAUCCCAGGUCUGCAGCCUGCGUGAAGGUACAUGUCCAAGGGACAUGUCAUAUCUGUAGCCAUUCCUAUGCUGGGCUUGAAUUGUAUGGUGGGUCUGUAAAGUACUUUCUCUACCUGGAUGUGUCCUGGAUCCCUCAUCUGACCAGAUGCUGCCUUCAUCCCAUCCAUCCAUCCAUCCAUCCAUCCAUCCAUCCAUCCAUUUACCCAUCUUAUCCAUACAGAUACGUAUAAGUCAAUUAUGCACACACACACACACACAGAGAGAGAGAGAGAGAGAGAGAGAGAGAGAGAGAGGGAGAGAGAGAGAGAGAGAGAGAGAGAGAGAGAGAGAGGAUAUAGCUUACAGGAGGCCAGAUGUGUUCCCGUGCAGUGCUUCAGAGAUUUCAGCCCACAGUUGCUUGGUCCCAUCACUGUGGAUUUGUGGUGAGGUGAAGUAUCAUGGUGGAAACAGUGAAGCAGCUCAGCUUACCUCGUGGCAGGCAGGAUGCACAGAGAGACAACACACACCCUUCUGAGGCUCCUCGAGAUCAGCUUCUGUCCAUUAGGUCCUACCCCACAAAGCUUCCACUCCUCCUAAGAGAGCCACAAAACCUUCAGCAGAGAAACCUUUUGAGUUUGCUACAUAGUAAAAACACCAACUGUCAUCCAUCCACCUGCACAGAAUGUCUGGUUUUGAGUGAGACUUUGGAAAACAGAGAUAAAAUAAGAUGUAGCUGCUCUCCUUAGAACCUGAAAGGAAGGCAGAAGGCAGAGCACCUGGCUUCAGUGGAGAUGCGGGCAAAGCAGAUGGCUACAUGGUCAGCCUGGUGGAGAAGCUGGAGGUGAGUCCUGCCGUGAGGGCUCAGGAGUCUGCACAGAAGAGCUGGGCACACGGGCAUGAUUUGAACAGGGUCUCCAAGGGAGAAUGUAAAGGGGAGAAUUGUUCUGAGCAGGGCAUCUGUAUGUGCAAAGGCACUGAGCCACCACCGCUGUGGGUGUGGCACAUCUAGAACAUCUGGAGGGGAGAUCCCGCCAGUGUGCAUGAGGAAGAAAGGAAGCGACUGAGUUACAAGGUGGUACCCAAGAGAGGCAGCCUUCCACUGUGUACUGUGGGAUGAAGACAUUCCCUGACAGCCAGUCAUGCGAUAUUGAUAAUGAGGAAGAGAGAAGGGGGUGGUUUCUGGGAGCGACCUAUGAGAACUGAGCCUAGUGGGCAGUGGCCUGGGCCUGGGGAUAUGGCAACUUCCUGAGCAGACUUGGCUUGCCCAGAAAGGGAUGGACCUGACUCAGCUCCGUUCUCACAGCCUCACCCCAGACAGGAACAAGUGAGUCCUUCCGAGCCCGUUCAUCGUCCCCGCUCCAAAGCCAUGGAGGAAGCCUCCAUUUUGGUCCACUUGCCAGGAAUGGAGUGGGUUUUCUUCCUCCUUCCAGCCUGCCCUGGUGCGCCCUCCAUGUCCCUGCUGCCCAGCUUCUUGGCACCAAGCCCCGGCAUCUUGUUAUCACAGGCGCUGUGCUGUCUGUCACCUUUUAUUACAAAACCUUCUGAAAUUCUCCAAAUCGUCUCGCCGGUUAUCGUGUUCAACCACAGUGUGCUUGCAGGAGCCUCGAGCUGGAACCACAAGGCAGCCACAGUGCGUCGGGGACUUCUGUUCUGUGCCCAGGAGGGCCCCCCUCCUUUCUCCUCCCCACUAGGGUCUCACACUGUGUCCCAGACUGGUCUGAAACUAUCUAUGUGUAGCCCAGGCAGAAGUGGCAUACGCAGCAAUUCUCCUGUCUCAGUGUCCUGGCUGCUGAGCUUGCAGGCUGACAGUUUGAUGCAGGAUCUCCCAGUGACCAAUCAGGCUAGACUGACCGGCAAGCAAGCUCUCUGGUGCCUGGAUUAUGUGCCUGGAUUAUGAACGCUCAUUACCACACCUCGCUUUGGUUUCAUGAAGGUUCUGGGGUCACACUCACCCCCACUGCACAGCCACCAUCAGCUGUGUCCUCUGGACAUUCUGACAGGUUGUUAGAACUGUUUCUGAGAAAAUAUGAUUCCCCACCCCAGCUUCAGCAUGGAUCCGGGCACCCCUGACAUUCAGUGGCACUCACUUCUGCUAAUAGGGAUCUUAGAGAUGAUCUUGGAGACGGAAGGCAUCAGUCCAAAAUGGCCACACAGCAAAUACAAACGGUGAGCCAGACAACUUGUCUCGGUGACACCUGAAUCAAGGCAGGGACCUUGUGUCACAAAGGGAGCAGCAGCCAUAAAUAUCCACAGUGGUGUGAAAUACCAGAAUGCUCUCCACAGCCCAUGAAAUGGACAUAAAUGUUUACUUCACACUAUAAUUAUGAAGAGGGGCCAUGGAUCGCCAUAAAACCCUAAAGAUUGAUGCUAAACCAACCACCUCCUUAGUAUCAUAAAUUCUGCCUGCGGUUAUAUGCAGUAUUUAAUAAACAUUAAUGAAAAUUUUGUUUAUAACACAUUUUUUUUUAAA